GAUGAACGCUGGCGGCGUGCCUAAUACAUGCAAGUCGAGCGAACGGACGAGAAGCUUGCUUCUCUGAUGUUAGCGGCGGACGGGUGAGUAACACGUGGAUAACCUACCUAUAAGACUGGGAUAACUUCGGGAAACCGGAGCUAAUACCGGAUGAUAUUUUGAACCGCAUGGUUCAAAAGUGAAAGACGGUCUUGCUGUCACUUAUAGAUGGAUCCGCGCUGCAUUAGCUAGUUGGUAAGGUAACGGCUUACCAAGGCAACGAUGCAUAGCCGACCUGAGAGGGUGAUCGGCCACACUGGAACUGAGACACGGUCCAGACUCCUACGGGAGGCAGCAGUAGGGAAUCUUCCGCAAUGGGCGAAAGCCUGACGGAGCAACGCCGCGUGAGUGAUGAAAGUCUUCGGAUCGUAAAACUCUGUUAUUAGGGAAGAACAUAUGUGUAAGUAACUGUGCACAUCUUGACGGUACCUAAUCAGAAAGCCACGGCUAACUACGUG
rnacentral:rRNA from 1 species